CUGAAGUAGCCCUCCUAGGCUAGCUUGAGCAUGGUGUAAAUCGUAAUUAUGUUUGUGUAUUACAGAUGUGCAAACAAGAGGACAGAAGUGCUGAAGGCAGGGCAGGAUGUAAUUUUCUGUUGUAACUUCGGAGAUGUCAAAAGGCAGAUGCAUUUUCAGACAGCAGAGUUGACUAUUUUUAUUUUCAACAGAUAAAUGAUUCAUCCCAUGUAUUGCACCUUUGGAAAGCUCUCUUACUCGUGUGUGCCAAGAUAAAUUAUGAAGGCUAAUGAAUACAGAAGUACUUCUGAGUAGAGAAAACUUCCACUAUAUGUGUUCAGGAAAUGUGUGUUUGGUAUAGCAUGUACCCUAAGAAUGAAGAACGUAAAUCUUGCAGAAAACAGUAUGGCUUUGAUGGCCCCAAUAGACAUUCUAAGAUAUGAAUUUUCAAGGUCACAAUGUAUAUUGCUAGUAUGUUACCAUGUGGAGGGCCCUUAAUAAAAUCCAG
rnacentral:lncRNA from 1 species